GCCCCCUUAGCUCAGGCGGAUAGAGCGGCGGUUUCCUAAACCGUAGGUCGCGUGUUCGAAUCACGCAGGGGGUA
rnacentral:tRNA from 1 species